AAAGAUAUUUAAAAAAAUUUAGUCGGAUUGUUUUCUGCAUGGAGCAGAAAUCAUAAUUGAAUAGUUAUAUUUAGAUAUGAAAAUGAAUCAGAUAAGACGAAUGUUCCUUUUAUCUGUCAUGAUAACAAUAGUAAAUGGGAACCAAUCAAUGUCUUGUACGUACAAAUGGAAUAUAGAAAAUAAGCCGAUUGCUCAUUGUGAAAAUCAAGGACUUACUUCUGUGCCAAGGAAUCUUAAGCGAGAAUAUCACUGAGUUAAUACUUUCAAAUAACUUGAUACGCAAGCUCCAAAAGGAUUCAUUCGUCCAUUAUGCGAAAAUGGAAAUCUUGGUUUUGAGCAAAAAUCAUAUAUCUGAAAUCGAGGAGGAUGCUUUUGCUGGACUACAUUUGCUUAAAGUUUUGAAGGUAAAUGAUAAUAUGAUUAACAUCACAAUCCUUCCAGAGCGAGUUUUCAGACAUCUUAGUAAUCUAAUUGAUCUGGAUAUAAGUCUAAAUAACAAGCCAUUGGAUGCAAACACUAAGUUUGUUUAUCCUGAUGGUGCAUUUUCUACAUUGAGAUCCUUGCAAAAUCUUUCAAUUGAUUUAUUCAU
rnacentral:lncRNA from 1 species